UACGAAGGGGGCUAGCGUUGUUCGGAAUCACUGGGCGUAAAGCGCACGUAGGCGGAUCUUUAAGUCAGGGGUGAAAUCCCGAAGGCUCAACCGUCGGAACUGCCUUUGAUACUGGGGAUCUCGAGUCCGGGAGAGGUGAGUGGAACUGCGGAGUGUAGAGGUGAAAUUCGUAGAUAUUCGCAAGAACACCAGUGGCGAAGGCGGAGCUC
rnacentral:rRNA from 1 species